AGGGAGUUUGAUCCUGGCUCAGAACGAACGCUGGCGGCAUGGAUUAGGCAUGCAAGUCGAACGGGAGCAGCAAUGCUCCAGUGGCGCAAGGGUGAGGAACACGUGAACAACCUGCCUUCGAGUUGGGGAUAGCUUCUGGAAACGGGAGAUAAUACCGAAUAACAUCACCGGAUCGCAUGAUCUGGUGAUCAAAGCAGCAAUGCGCUUGAAGAGGGGUUCGCGUCCCAUUAGCUAGUUGGUGAGGUAACGGCCCACCAAGGCGAUGAUGGGUAGCUGGUCUGAGAGGACGAUCAGCCACAUUGGGACUGAGAUACUGCCCAGACUCCUACGGGAGGCUGCAGUCGAGAAUUUUGGGCAAUGGACGAAAGUCUGACCCAGCAAUGCCGCGUGCGGGAUGAAGGUCUUCGGAUUGUAAACCGCUGUCAAGAGGGACGAAACAUGACGGUACCUCUGGAGGAAGCCACGGCUAACUACGUGCCAGCAGCCGCGGUAAUACGUAGGUGGCGAGCGUUGUUCGGAUUUAUUGGGCGUAAAGGGUCCGCAGGUGGUUGGAUAAGUUUGACGUGAAAUCCCAGAGCUCAACUCUGGAACUGCGUUGAAAACUGUCUGACUGGAGUAUCGGAGAGGAGAUUGGAAUUCCAGGUGUAGCGGUGGAAUGCGUAAAUAUCUGGAAGAACACCGAAAGCGAAAGGAGAUCUCUGGACGAUAACUGACACUCAAGGACGAAAGUAUGGGGAUCAAACAGGAUUAAAUACCCUGGUAGUCCCCU
rnacentral:rRNA from 1 species